rnacentral:rRNA from 1 species
GACGAACGCUGGCGGCGUGCUUAACACAUGCAAGUCGAACGGAAAGGCCCUGCUUUUGUGGGGUGCUCGAGUGGCGAACGGGUGAGUAACACGUGAGUAACCUGCCCUUGACUUUGGGAUAACUUCAGGAAACUGGGGCUCAUACCGGAUAGGAUCUCCUGCUGCAUGGUGGGGGUUGGAAAGUUUCGGCGGUUGGGUCUGGACUCGCGGCUUCUCAGCUUGUUGGUGGGGUAGUUGCUUACCAAGGCUUUGACGGGUAGCCUGCCUGAGAGGGAGACCGGGCACAGUGGGAUUGGGAUACGGCCAAGAGUGCUACAGGAGGAAGCAGUGGGGAAUAGUGGAAAAUGCGCGGAAUGAGGAUGCAGCAACGCCGGGUCGGGAAUGACGGCUUUGGGGGUGUAACCGAUGUGGCAGGUGACGAAGAGUGAGUGACGGUAAUGGGUAAAGAAGCACCGGCUAACUACAUG